GACGAACGCUGGCGGCGUGCUUAACACAUGCAAGUCGAACGGAAAGGCCCUGCUUUUGUGGGGUGCUCGAGUGGCGAACGGGUGAGUAACACGUGAGUAACCUGCCCUUGACUUUGGGAUAACUUCAGGAAACUGGGGCUAAUACCGGAUAGGAGCUCCUGCUGCAUGGUGGGGGUUGGAAAGUUUCGGCGGUUGGGGAUGGACUCGCGGCUUAUCAGCUUGCUGGUGGGGUAGUGGCUUACCAAGGCUUUGACGGGUAGCCGGCCUGAGAGGGUGACCGGCCACAAUGGGACUGAGAUACGGACCAGACUCCUACGGGAGGCAGCAGUGGGGAAUAUUGCACAAUGGGCGGAAGCCUGAUGCAGCAACGCCGCGUGCGGGAUGACGGCCUUCGGGGUGUAAACCGCUUUCGCCUGUGACGAAGCGUGAGUGACGGUAAUGGGUAAAGAAGCACCGGCUAACUACGUG
rnacentral:rRNA from 1 species